CAGCCACCACGUCUGGCCUCAGCACCCCCAAAUUCCGUGCCUGCUGCCCCUGCCCUCUGCCUCCUCUUUGCCCCCAGAAGCCUAAAUCUGGUGGUGUAAACAUGAGGUGGAAAGCUGAGGCUGUGAGUGGUCAUAGCCCCGGCAGUCAGGCCGGUUUAGGCAGUGAGUGACCCGCAGGGCUGUGGAGCUGCUUGGAAGGUUUCUGCCAUGCCUGAGGCAGAGUCGUGCCUGACCCAUCUCCAUAGUCGGGAGGAGGUUUCCACAUCUCCUUCUGAGUGCAUGCAAGGCUGGAAGUUCAGCAGGACUGGUACGUUUGUAAACAGGUGAAUAAGGAUUGCAGUGGGCACUCCAAGAGGAGUGUGGAGUGCACUCUAAAACUGAACUUCGACAGAGAACGUUGUUUCUUUGUGCCAUCUGCAGAAGAUGGCCCCAGAGCUGUGCUGGAUCCGUGUCAGCUCAGCACACGAGGGCUGACUGAGCAUGACACCCGUAACACGGGCAAGUCCAAGGCUGCCUGGCAAAGCAGCCCUGUUCUCCAGGCCGUGAAUUGAGAACAUCCACGACAUCACCAAUUUUCCAAUCUGAUGAAAAUGCCAGUGAUGCACCUCCCUCAGUGUUCCAUCUUUGGGGUGUUACAUACUCCCAGUCCUGGGAAGGUUCUCAGGAAAAGAGCAGGUGUGCUCAACACACAUGAUGAUACUCAGAACAACUUGCUUGCCUUACUGCUGCGCCCUUUUCCAGGCAAUACAACCUGUGCAUCCCAGGGCGAUUCAGAACCUGUAUGACAAGUAUUUUGGAUGUAGCUGGUGGUUCUGCCGCCUCUCGCUCCCAGGGUAGAGCGAGCACUGCUGCUCUUCUUGAUGACACAGAAAGUGCU